UAUCUCAGUCUCUCUGUGUAUGUCAGUAAACCAGUUUUGUGUAAACUAAACAAAAGGAUACGUCUUCUAUUAAACCUCGAGACGAGUGGAAAUGUCUGCCAUCUCACUUACGGUGUUAGUACUUGUGUCGAUCCUGGUAGUGGAGAAGGCAGCCUCUUGUUAUCCCCCUUACGGACGGACAAAUGGAUGCAGCAUCCCUUUAGGUUUAAAUUACUUCUACAAACGGACUUUCAGACCAGACUGCAACAAACACGAUGUAUGCUAUGCCUGUGGUGCAAGAUUUAGACGAAACAGAAGCUUCUGCGACCGUGUAUUUUACAACGACAUGUUAACACGCUGCAACAUAGACCCAAACGUGAGGUUCACUCGUUUUUGUCGUGAUAUUGCUUUAAAGUAUUAUCUUGGCGUUCGAGUAGGCGGCAGUUUACACUACGCAAACCCGUCUAAUUACUGGUGCGGAGAGAGUUGGGUCCAAAGCUGCAUAUGAGAACAUUUUUUAUAUUUAACUUAAUUCUGAAGAUAAUAAAUGUCCUUAAUUUUCACCACAAAUUCUCAGACACUAAUCAGAAACCAAUACGCCAUGUAAUUCAAACAAAAAAAUGUUUAUUUUUGUGAUUUUCGCAGCACUUGAUAAAGAUAACUGAUAAAUAUGGCUUAUGUACUUGCCUUCUAACUUUGCUAUUAAUGCCUGCAGUUCCUUA